rfam:Pongo abelii chromosome 4.
GAUAACAGUGCAAUCCUAUUCUAGAAUCCAUAUUGACAAUAGGGUUUACAACCUCAAUGUUGGAUCAGGACAUCCUAAUGGUGUAGCUGCUAUCAAGGGUUCGUUUGUUCCAUGAUUAAAGUCCUACAUGAUCUGAGUUCAGACCGGAGCAAUACAGGUC